GUUGAAUGUAAAGGUUUUUAAUUUUCCUUAAUAAAAAUUUAUGAUAUUUUUUUCUUCCGAUUUCGAAGUCUGUCAAUACAACAUUUAUAGAAGAAUUAAGGUUUUUGCUUUAAAACGAGUACGUUUAAAGGAUUUAGUGGUACCUUAGUAGUUAAAGUCAACUAAGCGUUAAAUGUAUUUAUAAUGUUAUACAUUAGUAGAAAAAUAUGGAAAUGGAACUACGUUGUGAUAGCCUUAACAUUAGUGUUAAAUGUCUUCACGCUUUCCGGGCCUCCGUUAUCUUUUGUUGGACGCCCAAAACUCCUGCAGCAUCGUUCCCUUAAUCCAGGAGCUGCUGCAUAGAUUACACAACGAUGCAUGCAAUAUAUUAUGGUUAUGAAGAAAGAUAAUGCACCAUUACUUUCGUUGAUCAAUGCUUACGAGAGCCACCAUCGCUUUAUUUCAUACUCCCAGAUUUUAUGCAACAUUAUUCCAUUGAUCAAAGAAUUGUGAUGCAGAAAAGCAUAUUAUUUAUAUGCUGAAAAUGCAACAUUAUUUUUAUAGUUGUACGCUUAUGUAUUGCCUCAAAUGUUCAUUAACAUUAAAAAUGAGUUUAUAUUAAAAACGUAAUCAAAUUA